rnacentral:lncRNA from 1 species
UCAAAUCUAACAAUAUAGGAAUGAUCAGAUCUCCACCCAAAGCAGGAUUUGGUACAUUUGGUCCCGAAGGAAAUCCCAGAUUAACCAGUGUGGUGUGGUAGAUAGUUGUUUACAUGAACUGACAGAAGUAUACCAAGUAACAAAGUUAGUUAUUUACAGCCAAAGUUCAAUGCCUCCAAACCAAAGCUUAACUCCUAACAGGAAAUGUCUCCAAAUAUUGUGGCCAAACCUUAACUCCUAACAGGAAAUGUCUCCAAAUAUUGUGGCCAAACCUUGGAACCUAAAAAAAUGGAGAGAAAAACGAAAUCAGGAAAUGCAACAGACAGGAAGUCACAUAGGAUAAAACUAUCUCAUUGCACCUGACAUAUACAGUACUGCUAAGAAAUUUCAUUAUCAGUUAUUUUGUAGAUUUUUUAAUAGAAUUAGCUCACUGAUGAGAGCCAACUGAAACUUUGCUGAAAUACAAUUUGAUGUGAUAAACUUUUUUACAAUAGUUAAAGUCGAAUGUGCAUAUAUACUUAAGCAUGUACUGUGUCAAAUAUAUAUCUUCAGAACCGGAGAAUCAGCAUGCAUGUCAUCUGCUAUUUUUCUAAUAAAAAUGUUUCCGUACCAUCCAUCGUCUCAACCUUCUGAAUCCAACUAAUCCAAGCUCGCCAUCGCCAUCAAUGGCACAUCCAGCUCAUGAAAGGAUAAAUAGCAAUAAAACAUUUAUGCACCACUCGUGUGUGUGUGUGUACAUAACAAUGGAAUAGAAAACAAUGAAAAUGUCUCAUUCAUCUGCUUCCUACUGAACCAAAGUGUGCUCCUCCGAGAAACAAUCACCAAAAUAACAUUUAAAAUUAGUAAAGGAUAAUGCUACAAUUUUCAGAUUGUCGGCAGAGAGGUUAGAGCUAUCAUCGUGACAAUGUAUUGCCAGAUAAAUCAACUACUUAAGUGUAAUUAUAUAACUUCUAUUUCAUUACCCCAAAAAAAUAGUAUAGCAAAAAGGCAUGGAUUCAAAAACUUCUCCAAAAUCAUCUACUGGAAAAAUAAAUCAGAAAGACAAUGUCUGUCAUAUAUACACACAGGGGGGUCUAGAAGAAGAAAAAUCGGAUCAUCUGUAGGUGAUAUACCUUUGCAGAAGGACAACCUUAGAGGUACACUAAGUAGACUUCAAAGUGUGUAAACUGAUCUAAUAGGUGAAAGUUUAAUUCAACAAAUAUGGCAAUCACUAACUGCCCUAUAGUCAAGAGAUUGUAUCACUAAGCUGCCCCUUCUAAGCAAUAAUGGUAGCAGUUGCUUGCAGGGUGAGAAAGGUUAACUUUCCGAUAAGCAGACAUUCUUGAUUAUGAUCAAAACAAUAGCCUUGUUAUAUUACCUGGCGAUAUUGGGUGACUGAAACUUAAAGUCCACUAAGAAGUAAACAUCACAGGUUGCAGAACAGGACCAGGCUUGAAUUUCCAAACGUUUAUCAAAUGAUCUAAAAGUCCACUUUGAGACGCUAUCGUCUGCAGCAGAGCAGUAUAGUCAGAAGCAAAAAAACGCAACUAAGCAAUCAUGAAGGGAAAAAGACCAGAGUACUCCAGAGAACUGCCAAUAUUACUAAUUAAUACUGAAGCUAAAGAAGCACCCUCUAGAUUGACUAUAGUCAGAUUAACAAAGUUGAUAAGUAGACUUUCAUCGACUAACAAUAUACAGUAUUUAUUAGAACAAAGAUAAAGAAGUUACCACGCUUGUUAUAGAAGGAUAGAAGUUCUCACAUUACUUGAAAACAAAGAGGCAGAUCUACACUGCUUAUUAUGGUGGUGCAGAAGUGCCAGUUAAUCAGAUAAAAAAAUAUGUAUCAGAACUGUUAUAGCUUUAUAAGACGAAAUUGGAUGACACUUCCUUCAGUAUUUACUGUGCCAAAAUAUUUACUCUGACCUCGAAUGGCACUCACGAAGAAAUCUUGAACUAUGAAACCAUGUGAGCAUGGUCUAUGUUACCGUAAAGGACAAAGAAUAAAAAAUAUACAAAAAGGAAAUGACAUUUGUACAGUAAGGAAAACUAACCAUGAAUAGAUGAACCUUAAGGCACACAAUGGGAAUAAGACAGGAGUUUGUUCAGUAGAUUUACCAUUGGGCAAAAAUGUUAUUAGUAGGCUUAAGACACACGCAUGAGGCAUAACAGAUAAUGAAUGCCAGAACAUGGCAUCAUAAAAAAUGCACAGAAUAGGCCGAGCCCUGACUCAGGUAACAAAGAACAUGGGAUAUAUUAUUCUCCCUCUUUAUGCCAGAUUGUUAGUCCAGCAUCCAGUAUUGCUGCUAGCUUUGGAAAAGUGAACUCAAGAAAACUUUCUGAGUACAAAGCAGAAGAUCUUGCAGCAGCUCCAGUCAACUCUUUCACGUACAAUACUGGGUAGGUACUUUCUCCAGACAUUCGAACUACCAUGCGCCACUAUGAAGUACUCUCUAGUGUGCAUAUAUUUCUUCUCAAGAUAGCCUACUUUGUGGCUAAUUUAUCAGGCCAAAAUAGUGUAGACUGGCCCUAUAUCGGCAAGGUGAUGAUGAUAGCAGUUGUGGUUGCAGACACACAUGAAAGAUAUGUCUUUUUCAAAAUGACAGAACCGAAUUUAGAUGUGCAUGAGAUCAGGCAUACCUCACAUGGAGCAUGGGUGGUCCAUUGAUGUUGGUAGAACGGCGAGAUUGUACGACAGCUUAUGGAAUACGGGCAGC